GUCCAGCUUGUGUCAGAUAGGAGAUAAUAACUGUAACAAGUUCACUCGUAGCUGAAAGAUUUGGAGCAAAACAAGACAAAGUAUUUUUGCAGAAGAAACCAACCUUUGUAUGCCACUGUACUGUAGAAUUUGUUUGUUUGUUUUUUUUUCUGUGUCUACAGGCAUCUUCCCAGAUGUGUCGCCAUGGCUUGAAACCAAAGAGGGAGGAGAAGUGCUGAGUGAGCACGCACAACAGCUACUCUGUCUUUGUUAAACAUCUUCAAGGUCCCUGUGGGGGGAUAAAUGGCCAACAGGAGGUGCUUUCCUGGGAGACAUGCAUGGAGAUCUAUACGGGGUUCCAGUGUCCAUAAUCGGGGCAGUGGGGCUUGUUGCACUCGCUGUUCCUUUUUCCUAUGCACAUACUUCUUUGAGAUUUAACUUUAAAGAGGCAUAAGGCAUGGGAAAAUGGGGCUGCAGAGGUAUUCCACCAGGCAGACAGCCAUUUCAUCAUCUUCUCGGCAUGACAGCUGACCUCAAAGUGUGCAUUCGCACACUCACUCUCACACACACACACAUACAUUGGAAUUCCAGCCUGUCUUGGGCUUACAAAGAAAAUCUGCAAAGCACAGACUGUGAUACACUGGAUGCAGGUAUUUUUAUGCCCCUCUGAUUAUUAUUGAUUUAUUUAUUAAAGUGCAAAUUUGAUCUUAAUCAUAUGUGUUUUAUUGCAUUUCUGUGACAUUAUUGUUCAUGUGUGUUUGCCCUGAAUAUUUGCUGAAUAAAGAAAGUUGGGCCAUUAA